rnacentral:sRNA from 1 species
UAUCAGUGACCUUUCUAAGUAAUAAUAAGAAGAAAAAAAAACAAUCCUACUAUUGUUAGAGACAAUCUUAUUAUUUCUUAUAUAUAACUCUAUAUUUUAUGUAGGGGCAUCAAAAUGGGUCAAAAUUCAUAGGUCAACUCAACUCAAUUCAACUCAACCCAUGAACUUUAAUGAGUUGAAAAUUUUGACUCAAAUGAGUUAAUGGGUCAAAUGAGUUGAUGAGUCAAUUGGUUUGAUGAGUAAAAUGAGUUGGGUUGUAAUGGUUAAUGGUUUCAAUGGUUUACCCAAUUAACCCAUCAAGUUUUGUAAAAUUGAAUUAAACCAACUAAAAUCUCUAAACCAAUUUCAAUUUAAGUUUAACCAACACAUCUAAACCAAUUUAAUAAAAUUAAUAUUUUUCCAAAUUUCUUAAAUAUACAAGCGAUGAAAUUGAGGAAAAGUAAAUUCGUAAUUUUUCCACUAAAAAACAUAAACCCGUGAUUUUCCCGCCAAAAACGAAAACCCAUGAUUUUCCCGCCAAAAACGUAAAUCCGUGAUUUACCCGCCAAAAACGUAAACCCGAGAUUUUCCGCCAAAAACAUAAAUCCAUAAUUUUCCCGCCAAAAACGUAAACCUGUGAUUUUCCCGCCAAAAAUGUAAACCCAUAUUUUCCCGCCAAAAACGUAAAUCCGUGAUUUUCCCGCAAAAAACGUAAACCCGUGAUUUUCCCGCCAAAAAUGUAAACCCGUGAUUUUCCAGCCAAAAACGUAAAUCCGUAUUUUUCCCGCCAAAAACGUAAGCCUAUAAUUUUCCGCCAAAAACGUAAACCCGUGAUUUUCCCGCCAAAAACGUAAACCCGUAAUUUUCCCGUCAAAAACGUAAACCUAUAAUUUUCCGCCAAAAACGUUAACCCGUGAUUUUUCCGCCAAAAACGUAAAUCCGUAAUUUUCCCGCCACAAACGUAAAUCUAUAAUUUUCCGCCAAAAACGUAAACCCGUGAUUUUCCCGCCAAAAACGUAAAUCCGUAAAAAAUGGAAUCCGUAAAUAUCCUAAGUUUGAUGAUAAUGAAUUAAUAAUGAUAAUUAUUUAUUAUUGUUUUAUAAUAAUA